rnacentral:rRNA from 1 species
UACGUAGGGUGCAAGCGUUGUCCGGAAUUAUUGGGCGUAAAGAGCUCGUAGGCGGUUUGUCGCGUCUGCUGUGAAAACUCAGGGCUUAACCCUGAGCCUGCAGUGGGGUACGGGCAGACUAGAGUGUGGUAGGGGGAGAUCGGAAUUCCUGGUGUAGCGGUGGAAUGCGCAGAUAUCAGGAGGAACACCGGUGGCGAAGGCGGGUCUCUGGGCAGUAACUGACGCUGAGGAGCGAAAGCGUGGGGAGCGAACAGG